ensembl:lncRNA
GGGAAUUUGGAAAGGAUUUUGGAAUUCUAUGGAGGAAUUUUCAAAGGAUUCUGAAUUCUACUGCAACAUUCCAGAAGAAUUCGGAAUUCUGAAGGGGAAUUUUGAAGGAUUUGGAAUUCUGAAGGGGAAUUUUGGAAGGAUUUGGAAUUCUGAAGGGAAAUUGUAGAAGAACUGCAAUUUUUAAAGGGGAAUUUUGGAAGAAUUCUGAAUUGCAAAGGGGAAUUUUGAAAGGAUUUGAAAUUCUGAAGGGGAAUUUGGAAAGGAUUUUGGAAUUCUAUGGAGGAAUUUUCAAAGGAUUCUGAAUUCUACUGCAACAUUCCAGAAGAAUUCGGAAUUCUGAAGGGGAAUUUUGAAGGAUUUGGAAUUCUGAAGGGGAAUUUUGGAAGGAUUUGGAAUUCUGAAGGGAAAUUGUAGAAGAACUGCAAUUUUUAAAGGGGAAUUUUGGAAGAAUUCUGAAUUGCAAAGGGGAAUUUUGAAAGGAUUUGAAAUUCUGAAGGGGAAUUUGGAAAGGAUUUUGGAAUUCUAUGGAGGAAUUUUCAAAGGAUUCUGAAUUCUACUGCAACAUUCCAGAAGAAUUCGGAAUUUUGAAGGGGAAUUUUGGAAGGAUUCGGAAUUCUGAAGGGAAAUUGCAAAAGAAUUGCAAUUUUCAAAGGGAAUUUUGGAAGAAUUCUGAAUUCUGAAGGGGAAUUUUUGAAAGGCUUUUAGGGAGCCAUUUUGAAAGGGUUCCAAAUCCCGAGAGGGAAUUUAGAAAGAAAUUCCAAAAUGGAGGAAUUUCGAAUGGAUUUGAGGAUAAUUUUGCAGACUUAAAAAAAACCCUGAAAAAAAAACCAAAGUGGGAAUUGAGGAGGAAUGAACCCUUUGACCAAUCUUCUUCUUCCUCCUUGGUCCUCCCACAGGAGCAGCUGUGCCCCCCCCCGCUGCCGGACCCCCCCCCAGGUUGGAGCAGGAGUUGGGCGCCCGCCUGCGCCGUUUGGGGGACGCCUUCCAGCAGGCACAUGAGCUGCAGCCCCCCCGCCCACACGGAGGCACUUUUUGGGGCCACGUCUUCCAGGUGGUGUCUCAGCUGCUGGGGGUCCUCUACAACCUACAUGCGGCCGCGCUGCCCCCCCGGCAGCACCAGUGACCCCCCCGAGGCCCCCCCACCCCCUAUUUAUUUAUUUAUUGUGCCAUUGAGAGGGGGUGGGGGGGGGGGGGGAGGUUGGGGGCUGAAUCUUAAGCACUGCCCCAUUGCAUCCUGUACAUGUGUAUGAUGGAAUGUACAUCUUGGGGGGGGC